UACGAAGGGGGCUAGCGUUGUUCGGAAUUACUGGGCGUAAAGCGCGCGCAGGCGGUCUUCCAAGUCAGUGGUGAAAGCCCGGAGCUCAACUCCGGAACUGCCAUUGAAACUGUGAGACUUGAGGAUGAGAGAGGUGAGUGGAAUUCCCAGUGUAGAGGUGAAAUUCGUAGAUAUUGGGAAGAACACCGGUGGCGAAGGCGGCUCACUGGCUCAUAUCUGACGCUCAGGCGCGACAGCGUGGGGAGCAAACAGG
rnacentral:rRNA from 1 species